GACAGAGGUCUCAAGCGUUGUUCGGAUUCAUUGGGCGUAAAGGGUGCGUAGGUGGCGCGGUAAGUCGGGUGUGAAAUUUCGGAGCUUAACUCCGAAACUGCAUUCGAUACUGCCGGGCUUGAGGACUGGAGAGGAGACUGGAAUUUACGGUGUAGCAGUGAAAUGCGUAGAGAUCGUAAGGAAGACCAGUGGCGAAAGGCGG
rnacentral:rRNA from 1 species